UGGGGAAUAUUGCACAAUGGGGGAAACCCUGAUGCAGCGACGCCGCGUGAACGAAGAAGUAUUUCGGUAUGUAAAGUUCUAUCAGCAGGGAAGAUAAUGACGGUACCUGACUAAGAAGCACCGGCUAAAUACGUGCCAGCAGCCGCGGUAAUACGUAGGGGGCAAGCGUUAUCCGGAUUUACUGGGUGUAAAGGGAGCGUAGACGGCGAUGCAAGUCUGAAGUGAAAGGCGGGGGCUCAACUCCCGGAUUGCUUUGGAAACUGUAUGGCUAGAGUACCGGAGGGGUAAGCGGAAUUCCUGGUGUAGCGGUGAAAUGCGUAGAUAUCAGGAGGAACACCGGUGGCGAAGGCGGCUUACUGGACGGCAACUGACGUUGAGG
rnacentral:rRNA from 1 species